GUGCGGUACACGCAGGGUCGCCUCGUUCAACGCGACACAACGGAGACCAGUCGCCGUCCAGUCUUGUGCUGCCCAUGGGACAGUUAUUUAUAAGUUACAGAAUAGAGGCUAAGUAAAUGUUUGCUUACAACCAUCCGAACAUUCCCUUCCUGCAACAGAAAUGAUGUCAAAAACAAGAGGACUAAAGCAACCCCACACUGAAAAUGCUUCAGACAAUAGAUGAACUCUGUGGAAUAAAAUAUACUUCGCUCUAUCCCAGAUGAUUGUUUUGUUUUGUUUUGUUUUUCUGUUUUUUUGUUUUACCAGAUGAUUGUUCUUAAGAGGAGUGUGAAUAAAGUCUCUGUAUACCUA